CAGUAGCCGCGGUAAUACGUAUGUCACGAGCGUUAUCCGGAUUUAUUGGGCGUAAAGCGCGUCUAGGUGGUUAUGUAAGUCUGAUGUGAAAAUGCAGGGCUCAACUCUGUAUUGCGUUGGAAACUGUAUAACUAGAGUACUGGAGAGGUAAGCGGAACUACAAGUGUAGAGGUGAAAUUCGUAGAUAUUUGUAGGAAUGCCGAUGGGGAAGCCAGCUUACUGGACAGAUACUGACGCUGAAGCGCGAAAGCGUGGGUAGCAAACAGGAUUAGAUACCCCCGUAGUCCCUGUCUCUUAUACA
rnacentral:rRNA from 1 species